rnacentral:rRNA from 1 species
AAAUGAAUAGACGGGGGCCCGCACAAGCAGCGGAGCAUGUGGUUUAAUUCGAUGCAACGCGAAAAACCUUACCAGGGCUUGACAUCCUCUGAAGCUAUAAGAGAUUAUAGUGUCCCUUCGGGGCAGAGUGACAGGUGGUGCAUGGUUGUCGUCAGCUCGUGUCGUGAGAUGUUGGGUUAAGUCCCGCAACGAGCGCAACCCUUAUCCUCAGUUGCCAUCACUUCGGGUGGGCACUCUGAGGAGACUGCCGGUGACAAACCGGAGGAAGGUGGGGAUGACGUCAAAUCAUCAUGCCCCUUAUGUCCUGGGCUACACACGUGCUACAAUGGCCUGAACAACGGGCAUGCGAAGGAGCGAUCCGGAGCCAAUCCCUUAAAUCAGGUCCCAGUUCGGAUUGCAGGCUGCAACUCGCCUGCAUGAAGUAGGAGUUGCUAGUAAUCGCGGAUCAGCAUGCCGCGGUGAAUGCGUUCCCGGGCCUUGUACACACCGCCCGU